AAUAAACUCAAAGCUACAAAGAAACAAGCUCUGCUUACAAGACACCAACAUUGGACAACAAGUUCUACAGUCCAUCUUUCAAAAGAGUAUCAUGGACCAGAGUAAUCGAUCAACAAAUUUGAUUGUAAUUAAUAUCAGCCAUAUUUGUAAGAAAAAUAUGAUCGAUUAUAGUCAUGCAUAUUUUCGGAUUAUAUCUAAAGAAGACUACAAUGAAGAUGGUCCUAUGGACGAUAUUAUGAUUCUUUCAACAACUACAAGAUCUAAAUUCUCGGAUUGGAUUGUAUUUAAUACACAAACUCCCCAAGCAAAAAAAAAUCACAUAUGUUGAAAUUUCAAUUCCAUCUCUUUGCUGUCACAAAAGAUGAUAAGGAACCCCACAAUAUUUCUAUAACAUUUAUUCCAUUAUUUUAAUGUUAUUUGUUUUAAUGUAUCAAUA